rnacentral:rRNA from 1 species
UCAAUAAGCGGAGGAAAAGAAACCAACAGGGAUUGCCCUAGUAACGGCGAGUGAAGCGGCAACAGCUCAAAUUUGAAAUCUGGCUCUUUUAGGGUCCGAGUUGUAAUUUGUAGAGGAUGUUUCGGCGUCGGCCUCGUGCUAAGUCCCUUGGAACAGGGCGUCAAAGAGGGUGAGAGCCCCGUUUUGGCUCGAGUGUCCUUCGCCAUGUGAAACUCCUUCGACGAGUCGAGUUGUUUGGGAAUGCAGCUCUAAGCGGGAGGUAUAUUUCUUCUAAAGCUAAAUAUUGGCCAGAGACCGAUAGCGCACAAGUAGAGUGAUCGAAAGAUGAAAAGCACUUUGGAAAGAGAGUUAAAAAGCACGUGAAAUUGUUGAAAGGGAAGCUCUUGCUACCAGACUUGCCCCUGUAGUUCAGCCGUCCUUCUGGGCGGUUUACUCUACAGGGCAGGCCAGCAUCAGCUUGGGUGGCCGGAUAAAGGCCCUGAGAAUGUAGCACCCUCCGGGGUGUGUUAUAGCUUAGGGUGUAAUACGGCCUACCUGGGCUGAGGACAGCGUUCGCUUGGAUGCUGGCGUAAUGGUCGCAAGCGACCCGUCUUGAAACACGGACCAAGGAGUCUAACAUCUGUGCGAGUGUUUGGGUGUCAAACCCAUGCGCGUAAUGAAAGUGAACGGAGGUGGGAACCGUAAGGUGCACCAUCGACCGAUCCUGAUGUCUUCGGAUGGAUUUGAGUAAGAA